GUUUUUUUUGCUUUAAAAGGCUGAUGCUUGCCGGCAAUAAACGUCGCCUUGAUCAGACUCUUGUCUUGGCGUCCUUCCUUUCUCUCUGCCCCAUCUCCACCCCGCUGCUCUUUCAAGUUUGAGGCACUGCUGGACAGUGCUCUGCGUCACCGGCUCGUGACACCCGCUAUUUCCGGCCUUUCUCCUUUUCAGGCUAUGAGUAACUGUCAUAAUACCAACUAUACAGCUUUUGCUACUUCUUUGAAGAACAAUGGAGAAAGGCUUGCUACAUAUCAACACCAGACGGAAAGCAAAUUUAAAAUGCUCUGCAUAAUGUUACAUUGCCCAUUUUUAAUUAACCCCACG
rnacentral:lncRNA from 1 species